rnacentral:rRNA from 1 species
GUUCAGAACGUCGUGAGACAGUUCGGUCCCUAUCCGUCGCAGGCGUAGGAAAUUUGAGGAGACCUGUCCUUAGUACGAGAGGACCGGGAUGGACGUACCUCUGGUGUACCAGUUGUUCUGCCAAGGGCAUGGCUGGGUAGCUAUGUACGGAAUGGAUAAGCGCUGAAAGCAUCUAAGCGCGAAGCCAACUUCAAGAUAAGAUUUCCCACCGUAAGGGUAAGACCCCAGGAAGACUACCUGGUUGAUAGGUCGAAGGUGUAAGUGCAGUAAUGUAUUUAGCUUAUCGAUACUAAUAGGUCGAGGACUUGACCA